GACGAACGCUGGCGGCGCGCUUAACACAUGCAAGUCGAACGGAAAGGCCUGCUUUCCCUUGUGGAUUGCGGGUACUCGAGUGGCGAACGGGUGAGUAACACGUGAGUGAUCUGCCCCCAACUUGGGUAUAAGCCUGGGAAACUGGGUCUAAUUCCCGAUAGGACUGCAGGGUGGUGCCUGUGGUGGAAAACGAUUUUCUAGUGGUUGGGGAUGAGCUCGCGGCCUAUCAGCUUGUUGGUGGGGUAAUGGCCUACCAAGGCGGCGACGGGUAGCCGGCCUGAGAGGGUGGACGGCCACAUUGGGACUGAGAUACGGCCCAGACUCCUACGGGAGGCAGCAGUGGGGAAUAUUACACAAUGGGCGGAAGCCUGGUGCAGCGACGCCGCGUGGGGGAUGACGGCCUUCGGGUUGUAAACUCCUUUCGACCGCGAGGAAGCCACCUGGUUGGAAGGGUGGUGACGGUAGUGGUAGAAGAAGCACCGGCUAACUACGUG
rnacentral:rRNA from 1 species